CGGGGACCCGCACAAGCGGUGGAUGAUGUGGUUUAAUUCGAUGCAACGCGAAAAACCUUACCUACCCUUGACAUGUCCGGAAUCCUGAAGAGAUUUGGGAGUGCUCGAAAGAGAGCCAGAACACAGGUGCUGCAUGGCCGUCGUCAGCUCGUGUCGUGAGAUGUUGGGUUAAGUCCCGCAACGAGCGCAACCCUUGUCAUUAGUUGCUACGAAAGGGCACUCUAAUGAGACUGCCGGUGACAAACCGGAGGAAGGUGGGGAUGACGUCAGGUCAUCAUGGCCCUUAUGGGUAGGGCUACACACGUCAUACAAUGGCCGGGACAGAGGGCUGCCAACCCGCGAGGGGGAGCUAAUCCCAGAAACCCGGUCGUAGUCCGGAUCGUAGUCUGCAACUCGACUGCGUGAAGUCGGAAUCGCUAGUAAUCGCGGAUCAGCUUGCCGCGGUGAAUACGUUCCCGGGUCUUGUACACACCGCCCGUCACACCAUGGGAGCGGGUUCUGCCAGAAGUAGUUAGCCUAACCGCAAGGGGGGCGA
rnacentral:rRNA from 1 species